GUCGAACGCUGGCGGCGUGCCUAAUACAUGCAAGUCGAACGCAGUGGGGGCAGGUGAGUAACACGUGGGUAACCUCCCAUCAGAGGAGAUAACACUUGGAAACAGGUGCUAAACCCAUAUGGAUGGAUGGACCCGCGGUGCAUUGGCUAGUUGGUGAGGUAACGGCUCACCAAGGCCACGAUGCAUAGCCGGCCUGAGAGGGUGACCGGCCACACUGGGACUGAGACACGGUCCAGACUCCUACGGGAGGCAGCAGUAGGGAAUCUUCGGCAAUGGACGAAAGUCUGACCGAGCAACGCCGCGUGAGUGAAGAAGGUUUUCGGAUUGUAAAACUCUGUUGUUAGAGAAGCGGUAUCUAACCAGAAAGCAACGGCUAACUACGUGCCAGCAGCCGCGGUAAUAC
rnacentral:rRNA from 1 species